CAUCCCCAUCCCCUAGUAGCAACAAACAAGUACAUCUUGUAUUAUUAGGGCAAACCCGACCCGGGCCAAGUCCAUUCUCUUACGAGCAUUGUGAGCCGCCAGGCGCUGAUUCGUGAAUUGUUGUGAUCAAACUUGAGGAAGCAAGCAGUGAAGCAGAGAGAGAGAGAGAGAUGAGGAAGUUCGAUCCGUGGCCCGUUUUCUUCCGGCGAGAAUGGAGUAGGAACUGGCCGUUCUUGGUCGGUUUCUUCGUAACCGGUACUGUCAUCACCAAGCUCUCUCUCGGUCUCACCGAGGAGGAUGCGAAGAACUCUCCCUUUGUGCAGAGGCACAAGAGGUAAAUUUAUCAAUGCUACAUGCAGAAAGGAGUUCAGCAAUAUGAUUUCUUUUGUUGGAAUUGAAUGUCAAAUCUGUUGGCAUUUCUAUGUUACCCAAUAAUGACUGAAUGUUUUAAAAACUGAGCACUGUAAUUUACUUUGGCUACCCAUGAAGAAUAUAUGACUUCCAUUAAUUUGUGAGAUCAAUGGUUUUUGGGUUUUA